AGGAUAAUAGUUAAUAAUAAUACUUGGUUUGCAGCCAAGAGGUGUUGAUUUCAACUUAUCUUA
rnacentral:tRNA from 1 species